rnacentral:rRNA from 1 species
AAUGAACGCUGGCGGCGUGCCUAACACAUGCAAGUCGAACGCGAAAGCCCGCAAGGGUGAGUAGAGUGGCGCACGGGUGAGUAAUGCACAAGUAUCUGCCCUUUUGUGAAGAAUACCUUUGAGAAAUCAAAGUUAAUACUGCAUAAGUCGGGAAACCGAGAAAGGUGGCCUCUAGCUACCGCAGAAGGAAGAGCUUGUGUCCUAUCAGCUAGUUGGUGGGGUAAAGGCCUACCAAGGCGAAGACGGGUAGUCGGCCUGAGAGGGUGAACGACCACAAUGGGACUGAGACACGGCCCAUACUCCUACGGGAGGCAGCAGUGGGGAAUAUUGCACAAUGGGCGAAAGCCUGAUGCAGCGACGCCGCGUGGAGGAAGAAGGUCUUCGGAUUGUAAACUCCUGUUGAGUGGGAAGAAAGACGGUUGGUUAAUACCCAACUGGGAUGACGGUACCACUCGAGGAAGCACCGGCAAACUUCGUG